UCCCCAACACCCAACAUCACCCCACCCGCCCCCCCCAAAAAAGGAAAAAAAACCACGCUUCUGCAGUUCUGCCAUGUAUGGAUUGUCAACUGUGGCGGUGAAGCGGUGAGUGACACUUAUCUUGGCCAACGAUCUACGGCAGCGACUUAUCAUAAGCUUUGGAGCUUUAAAGGGUUUAAGAGAUAUGUCAAGGUUUCGUGCAAUAUGGCAGGCUUCUUUGAAUGCUACAAAGAAAGCUCUUACAUGGAAAGCUGAGGAUUUGAUUCCUCCCACUGAGAGAUAUAUAUUCAAUUUCAAUUCAAGGGAAGAGUUGAAAAAGUGGCAUCUAUAUUCAGAUUCUGAAUAUGGAGGGUUGUCCUCGGCAUCUCUUGAGAUUGCGGAUACAGGAAAUGGAAUAAAAGGGGUUUUCUCUGGGAACCUUUCUCUGGAUGUAAGUGAGGGUUCAAAGUGGAACAUUACUCGGAGUGGCUUCUGUGGGAUGCGGUCUAAGAAGUUUGAUGGCUUCAUUGAUUUAGAUGCAUAUGAUACAAUAGCACUAAAGUUGAAAGGAGAUGGAAGAUCUUAUAUAUCUACUUAGAUAUACACAGAGAAUUGGGUGAAUUCACCUGGACAAGAGGAAGAUAAUUCAUGGCAAUAUUUUGUUUUUGUACCCGAAGAUAAGUGGUAUAUUGCAAAGAUUCCGCUUGCUCGAUAUUUACCAACAUGGAGAGGGAAUGUUAUAGAUGCUGACUUGGAGAUGAAUCCGUCACGUGUUCUCGGUAUGUCUCUAUCAGUGAAUGCAGAUGGUGGUGUCCCGGGUGCUAAAACUGGACCGGGUGAUUUCAGAGUUGAAAUUGAUUGGAUCAAAGCCUUGAGAUCAGUGUGACCAGUAAAAACUCUUAACAAUCCCUGUUUCUCUGCUAGUGUAAUAAGGUGUUAUAUUAUGUUUCAAAAGAAAUCAUGUUUCAGUAAUGUCAGCCGUAUCAUGGUAUGGUGAACACAAAUUAUCGGGGCAAGUUUUUUCUGAUGCCUUUAGAAUUCUUAGUAGGUCAAUCUUUGUUCUUUCCAAGCAGGAUAUGGAUACCGUGUUAAUUUAAUUUCCCCUAAUCUUUUAAUAGAUCUAGAGAGAGACACGUGGAAAGUUACACUUUCCACUUUAAUCCAAAAUAAGCAGCAGAACUUGUUCUGUUUGGAUCAAA